UACGUAGGCAGCAAGCGUUGUUCGGAGUUACUGGGCGUAAAGGGUGUGUAGGCGGUUUUUUAAGUUUGCUGUGAAAUCUCCCGGCUUAACCGGGAGGGUGCGGUGAAUACUGAGGGACUAGAGUACGGGAGAGGAAAGUGGAAUUCCUGGUGUAGCGGUGAAAUGCGUAGAUAUCAGGAGGAACACCGGUGGUGUAGACGGCUUUCUGGACCGACACUGACGCUGAGACACGAAAGCGUGGGUAGCAAACAGG
rnacentral:rRNA from 1 species